GAUGAACGCUAGCGACAGGCUUAACACAUGCAAGUCGGAGGGGCAGCAUGGUCUUAGCUUGCUAAGGCCGAUGGCGACCGGCGCACGGGUGAGUAACACGUAUCCAACCUGCCGUCUACUCUUGGACAGCCUUCUGAAAGGAAGAUUAAUACAAGAUGGCAUCAUGAGUCCACAUGUUCACAUGAUUAAGGGUAUUCCGGUAGACGAUGGGGAUGCGUUCCAUUAGAUAGUAGGCGGGGUAACGGCCCACCUAGUCUUCGAUGGACAGGGGUUCUGAGAGGAACGGUCCCCCACAUUGGAGCUGAGACACGGUCCAA
rnacentral:rRNA from 1 species